ensembl:rRNA 5S_rRNA 5S ribosomal RNA
UACAGCCACACCACCUUCAAUGUACCCAAUCUUGUGUGAUCUUAGAAGCUACUCAGGGAUGGGCCUGGUUAGCACUUUAUAAGAAGGAUAAGACAUCAGUUUGAAAAGAGCACCUGUCAGAGCAAUAU